rnacentral:ncRNA from 1 species
AAUUAAAGUUAAUUUUUAAUUUAUUAUUUAUAAAUUAUUUAUUUAUAUAUAUAAAAUUUGUAGUUUAAAAUAAUUUUAAAAAUUUAUAAAUUGGAAUAUAUUAUUUAAUAUUACGAAAUAAAGAAAUUUUUAGAUUUUGCAUUAUGAAAGUUGUUACAGAUUCUGUGUCAGCGUUGCGAUAUACUAAAAAUAAUUUAAAAAUUCAUUUAUAAUUAAUUAAUAUGAUUAAUUGAAUUAAAAUAAUUAAAAAUUAAUUUGAGUUAAGUAAAAUUUUAAAUUAAUAAAAAUUAAAAAUUUAAUAAUUUAUAUGAAGUUAAAGUAUUUUUAGUUAGACUAGGAUUAGGUAGUUUAUUAUAAAAAAAUUAAAAAUAAAGUAGGGGAAGUUAAAAUCUUAAAUACUAAAGUUUUUAGCAGCAUUUUAAUCUAAUUAAAAAAAACCUAUUUAUUAAUUGAUAUUCCACGAUUAUUUUACUUAAUUUAAUUAAAUUUGUAUAUCGUUACUAUAAAAAUUUUUUAGAGAGAUAUUUUUAAAAUUUAAAUAAAAACUAUAUCAAAUCAAGAUGUAGUAUAGUUAAGAAUUUAAUAAGUUAUCAUUAUUUAAUUUAUGGAAGAAUUUAUGAAAAAUUAUUUGAUAUUAGAUCUGAGUAAUUUAAAUUAAUUUACCCGAAAUGAUUUAAUUUUAAAAUAUGCACAUAUUGCCCGUCAUUUCAUUCCAAAUUGAAAUAGGCCGUAGCAUAGUAGAAUCACUGGAAAGCAACGCUAGAAAGCU